AUACGUAGGGUCCGAGCGUUAUCCGGAAUCAUUGGGCGUAAAGAGCUCGUAGGCGGUUCAGCAAGUCGGCUGUGAAAGUUCGAGGCUCAACCUCGAAAUUGCAGUCGAUACUGCUGUGACUUGAAUUCGGUAGAGGAGAAUGGAAUUCCCGGUGUAGCGGUGAAAUGCGCAGAUAUCGGGAGGAACACCAGUAGCGAAGGCGGUUCUCUGGGCCGAUAUUGACGCUGAGGAGCGAAAGCGUGGGGAGCAAACAGGAUUAGAUACCCGAGUAGUCC
rnacentral:rRNA from 1 species